AAAAAAAAAAAAAACCCACAAUCAUGAACGUGGUUUUCCCAGGGCAAGGCUUAUCCAUUGCACUCCAGACAUGCUGACCCCUGAAUCGCUCCAAAUGUGGGAACUCAACUGCAUAAUUUUUGAUAGUUGGGGACUGUGUUCGUACUCUCCCCUG
rnacentral:snRNA from 1 species